GGGAGCUUUAGAAAGAGCUUAUUUCCAGUAAUUAUUACUCUGAGCAUUUCUCAAUUAAAUCGUUGCUUUUCUCCUCAGCAAUGCAAAUUCUGGCCACUCCCAAGGUUUCUGUUGGAAUGGAUGGCUCUCUCUGGUUCUUUGCUGCUGAGUAGACUCCUAAUGAGGAUUAUCUGCUUUUUGCACAAUAAAAAAAAAACAAAACAAAACAAAAAAAAAAAAAAAAAAAAGAGCAGAUUUAGAAAUUACUCCAGUAAAAUUUGGAGUUGAUUAUUUAAAAAAUUGAAUAAAUUUUGGCUUGUGAUAAAUUUUGGGUUCAGUGCAUAAGAGGCACUUCCUCACCCCCUGAGAAGCUCCUGCAGGAUGAAGAUGGCUCCACCCGCGAAGAAAAGGCUUUCCAGUGUAGAUGGUUUAUAUUAAGGAGAGCAGAUGGGAAGUCCAAACAUUCCCCAAAAGUGCUGCAGAGGAAGGCAAACACUGCAGGGUGCCAGAGCUUUUUCCAUGAGUCAAAAAAUAUUCACCCUUCAAGAUCUUCUCGAUAAAGCUUAUGCCUGGAGGAUGAACUCAAUUAGAGGGCAGACUGUUUGCAAGUGUAUCCCUACAAUUUCGCUUUUGGAAUGUGGGAUUGCAACAGUUAAUUAACGCUAUGAAAACAUCACAAAUUACUGUAUCCAUUUCCAAGAUUUCAACUUUCGCAAGAGCGCAGCGAAAACAAAGGAAUGGGAGUUGCAUCCCUAGAAAAGUACUCACUGCAAGGCUGCCGCUAUUGAUUCAAACGCUUCUCAGCUCAAACUGAAACACUUUAUUUUCCAGCAGAGCUGAUCCCAGGGGAAGCUGUACUUAUCCUAAAACGAGGAUGUUCGGUAGUUCGGGAUCAAGAUCCCUGGUAGUCGCCCUGACGCGCUGUGAUGGAAAACUGAUGGGUGGGUGCCGAGGCAGGGGGUAUCGGGGGGGUCUCGCUUCCAAGGAUCCCCGGGAGGUUCGGGAGCCGCCCCCUCUCUCCCCGCAGGUGUCCGGGUCCCACCCUGCCCGCAGGUGCCACCGCCCCGGGGCGGGCACGGGGUGUCCGAGCCGCCCGCUCCGCCCCGGCCCCUCCUCCGCCCGCCCCGCCUACACGGCUGGGGCGAACACCGGUGUCCUGCUGCUGCCGUGUCCCCGUGUCCUGCUGCUCCCGUGUCCCGCAGCUCCCGUGUCCUGCAGCUCCCGUGUCCCGCCGGCCCGGCACGGAGCCUGGAUUUCCUGGAGCACCAUUCCCUCGGUGGCUUCUCUCCUGUAUCUUAUUCCCAUCGGAUUUUAUUUCUCUCUGUGAUGGGUUUGGUGCUGAAGUGCACGUGCUGGACCCAAUCCUCGCGUGGCAUUUGGCUCCCUGCUGGGAGGAUUCCU
rnacentral:lncRNA from 1 species